rnacentral:rRNA from 1 species
AACGAACGCUGGCGGCAGGCUUAACACAUGCAAGUCGAACGGAUCCUUCGGGAUUAGUGGCGGACGGGUGAGUAACGCGUGGGAACGUACCCUUUGCUACGGAAUAACUCAGGGAAACUUGAGCUAAUACCGUAUGUGCCCUACGGGGGAAAGAUUUAUCGGCAAAGGUUCGGCCCGCGUUGGAUUAGCUAGUUGGUGGGGUAAUGGCCUACCAAGGCGACGAUCCAUAGCUGGUCUGAGAGGAUGAUCAGCCACACUGGGACUGAGACACGGCCCAGACUCCUACGGGAGGCAGCAGUGGGGAAUAUUGGAAAAUGGGCGCAAGACUGAUCCAGCCAUGCCGCGUGAGUGAUGAAGGUCUUAGGAUUGUAAAGCUCUUUAACCGGUGAAGAUAAUGACGGUAGCCGGAGAAGAAGCCCCGGCUAACUUCGUG